GGAUAGACUUACGAUAGAUACCUAGGCACCCAAAGACGAGGAAGAGCAUAUCGAGUAAUGAAAUACUUCAAAGAGUUGAAAAUAAGCAUAAAUCCAUAGUAACUCAAAUAGAUCAACGUUUCAAAUUGUUGUUGAAUCCAUAGACAGGCAAGAGAUAAUCAGACGAAUUAAAACAUCUUAGUAACCAGAGAAACAGAAAGCAAAAGCAAUUCCCAUAAUAGAAGCGAGCGAAAUGGGAGCAACCUAAACUGUGAAAAUGGGGUUGUGGGAGAGCAAUACAAGCGUCGUGUUACUAGGCAAAGUGAAAGAAUGAAUAUUGCACCAUAGAUGGCGAAAGUCCAAUGGCCGAAAGCAUCACUAGCUUACGCUCUAACUCGAGUAACAUGGGGCACGUGGAAUCCCAUGCGAAUCGAUAAGGAACACUUUGCAAGGCUAAAUACUCUUGGGUGAUCGAUAGUAAAGUAGUACCGUGAAAGAAAGGUAAAAAGAACCACAAUUAAGGAGUGAAAUGGAAUAUGAAACCGUGAGCUCCCAAGCAACACAUGAGUUGUGGUUAAAGGUAAAAGACCAUUCGAACCCAGAGCUACCUGGUUCUCCCUUAAGUACAUUGAGGCACAACAGUUGACUAGAUAUCUAUGAGUAAGGCACUACUUCAAUGUGGGCCACAAGAGCGGUACCAAAACGAGGCAAACUUUAAAUACUAGAGAUGACCUAAAAAUAAGAGGGAUCAAGAUAAUAAGCUUCAUCAUCAAGAUGGAAACAAUCUGGAUCACCAACUAAGGCAUCUAAAUAAUCACUCAGCUAUAAAUAAGGUAGGGGUGCAGCUAGAAGGUUUGCUUAGAAGCAACGAUCCUUGAAAGAGUGCAUAAUAGCUCACUAAUUGAGUGCUUUUGCAUUCAAGAUGAAUGGAGCUAAGCAAUAUGUUAAAGCUAAGAUGUAAAAAUGCAUUGGUAGGGGAGUGUUCCGCUUUAACAUGAACCACAAAUGCAAGUAGGUGUGGAUAAAUUGAAAGUGAGAAUGUCGACUAGAGUAACACAAACAUUGGUGAGAAUCCAAUGCCCAAAAGAUCUAAGGGUUCCUUCAUAUAAGGUUUAUCCACAGAGGAUGAGUUUCAAAAAUCAAAUGUCAAAAAUGAAUAACGAUCGUAACUAUAAUGGUCCUAAGGUAGCAAAAUUUAUUAUCAAAUAAGUUUCGACUCGCAUAAGGGCGUAAUGAUGUGGGCACUACCUCAAAGAAAUAGACAUAUAUGUGAAGAUACAAAUUGCCCAUAAUGAUGUGGGCACUACCUC
rnacentral:ncRNA from 1 species